rnacentral:rRNA from 1 species
AAAUUGAAGAGUUUGAUCAUGGCUCAGAUUGAACGCUGGCGGCAGGCCUAACACAUGCAAGUCGAACGGUAACAGGAAGCAGCUUGCUGCUUUGCUGACGAGUGGCGGACGGGUGAGUAAUGUCUGGGAAACUGCCUGAUGGAGGGGGAUAACUACUGGAAACGGUAGCUA